UGGAUCUCCGAUCGGGAAACCGCAUGCGUCGAUCAGAAACCAAAAGGUGGAAUGUUCGACAGACUACUUGGCCAACUGAAACAUCUAAGUAACCAAAGGAAAAAGAAAUCAACCGAGACUCCGUAAGUAGUGGCGAGCGAACGCGGACAUUGCUAGCUCUUAUUCAACCCCUUAAGAGGCUGAGAAGCCUUGCCAUAGAAGGUCAUAGCCCUGUAAGGGUUGAAUAUUCUGAAGAUUUACCAAUCUUGAAUGAGCAAAGAGCCCAUCCCCAUAGGGGAUUGGAGCUCAUUUUAUUUGAGGGGGGACCACCCUCCAAGCAAAGUAAUCCUUCUGACCUAUAGUGCAAUAGUACCGCGAGGGAAAGGUGAAGAAAACUCUGGAAAGAGGGUGAAAAGAUCUGAAAUCCAAUGCAGACAAUCAGUUGAAGGCAAUUGCCAUAUUGGGCAGUGCAUGAGUGAGAGCCAGGAUUGGCUUGAAUCCAUUCUCAAUUGCUUACAGCGUACCUUUUGUAUAAUGGGUCAGCGAGUCAAUCUUUACAGCAAGCUUAAGCUCUAAAGUGUAGGCGCAAUGAGAAACCAUACCAGUUGUAAGGAUUGGACCCGAAAUCGAUUGAGCUAGCCAUGGGCAGGUUGAAGCGGCGCCCGACAGCACGUGGAAGACCGAAUUCGUUACUGUGGCAAAAGUAUGAAAUGACCUGUGGCUAGGGGUGAAAGGCCUAUCAAAAUCGAAGAUAGCUGGUUUUUUGCGAAAUCUAUUUAGGUAGAGCGUUCUUCAGCAAUCGUGUUUGUAGGGGGUAGAGCACUCGAUGGGCUAGGGUGGCCCAAAGCUUGACCGAUCCCAAGGAAACUCCGAAUACAGGCCAUACGCUGAAAGCAGACAGACUUUGGGUGAUAAGGUCCAAGGUCAAAAGGGAAACAGCCCAGAUCGUAUGCUAAGGUCCCAAAGCAAUCACUUAGUGGAAAAGGUGGUCGCUAGGCGAUUACAACCGGGAGGUGGGCUUGGAAGCAGCCAUCCUAUUAUGACAGCGUAACAGCUCACUGGUCUAGCUUAGCGGCGCCUAAAAUGAACCGGGGCUCAAGUGAUUCACCGAAGCAACGAAAUUGAAUCGAGGGAGCUGAUACGAUUUUGAAGAAUUGUACCGAUCUGCGACCCCAUUCAAUUGGUAGCAAAACGUUCUAUAAGCCCUGUGAAGGCAACUCGUAAGAGAUGCUGGAGGCAUUAGAAGUGAGAAUGCUGACAUAAGUAACGAUUAAUAAUGUGCAAAGCAUUAUCGCCGAAAGUUCAAGGGUUUCAUUGUUCAGUCAAUCUGCAAUGAGUCAAUAAGGCCCCUAAGUUUCAUGCUGAAGAGCAUUGAUCGAUGGGUAGGCUGGGAGCGACGAAGAGAUCGCUGAUGGGGCUAUUGCCCCCUGCUUCGCUCCACUCCUCUCUGGGGAGUGGGGCUCUGCGCUCAAUCAUCUUUCUGAUACAGAACACGCGGCAAUCGCGCCUUGCAGGAGUGAUUUGAUUCGAGACAAUCCUUUUCCUAGAAACAACUCCAGCCACAACUAUACCUUACCCCAAACCGACACAGGUGAACAAGUAGAGAAUACUAAGGCGUUGGGACAAUCACCUUGAAGGAACUCGGCAAAAUCACUCCGUAACUUCGGGAGAAGGAGGGCUCUCAAGAGAGAGUGGCACAGAAUAGGGGGUGGCGGCUGUUUAUUAAAAACACAGGACUCUGCAAAGUACCAAUACCAUGUAUAGAGUCUGACACCUGCCCGGUGCUGUAAGGUGAAUAGGAGAGGUAAGUAUGCUUCGAAUGAAAGCCCCAGUAAACGGCGGCAGUAACUCUAACUGUCCUAAGGUAGCGAAAUUCCUUGACGUAUAAUUAACGUCCUGCAUGAAUGGUGUCACGACUGCCCCGCUGUCUCCAAGGUGAGCCCAGUGAAUUUGAAUUCUCCGUGAAGAUGCGGAGUACCAGCGGCUAGACGGUAAGACCCCGUGCACCUUUACUAUAGCUUUGCACUGGCCACCCCGGUAUGAUGUGUAGAAUAGGUGGGACCAUACAAUUGGGAUCGUGAAAUACCAUCCUUUAUUCUGGGGGGGUCUAACUAUAAGAAUGUAGGACCUUGCAUAGUUGGUAGUUUCCCUGGGGAGGGGUUCUCCUAAAGAGUAACGGAGAAGUGUGAAGGUAAGCUCAAGCUGUGCUUGCGCGCAGCUGUAGAGCGUAAUGGUACAUGCUUGCCUGACUGUAAGACCUACAAGUCGAACAGAGACGAAAGUCGGCCAUAGUGAUCCGGGGGCCCCGUGUGGAAGGGCCCUCGCUCAACGAAUCAAAGGUACGCCGGGGAUAACAGGCUAAUGACCCCCAAGAGCCCAUAUCGACGGGGUCGUUUGGCACCUCGAUGUCGACUCAUCACAUCCUGGGGGUGAAGAAGCUCCCAAGGGUUCGGUUGUUCGCCGAUGAAAGUGGUACGUGAGUUAGGUUUAGAACGUCGUG
rnacentral:rRNA from 1 species